rnacentral:rRNA from 4 species
GUUUCCGUAGGUGAACCUGCUGCUGGAUCAUU